ensembl:lncRNA
CACACACACACCUCGUUUAAUCCUCACAUUACCCGCCAUGAGGUGUGUCAUCCCAUUUUCCUAAGAAGAAAAUGAAGCUGAGCGAGGCCAAGUGAUUUGUCCAAGGUCAUAGAGUCAGGAACCCACGAGGCAGGACAGUCAUGGAAGCUUUACUGAAGUGAGCUUCCUCUCCCACCUUAGAGAGUCUGCGAGCGGUUCUGAGGGAGGUGGCUAUUUCAGCAUCCUUUACCUGCACUGCCUGGUAUGUGAUGGUCACAUUUCUCUGCAGCUUUUUGCUUCAGCAUUGCAUGUGAUCUUUUCAAAGGCAUUUUGAGCACUACCUGGGGGUUCCAAAUUAGGAUGAAAAGCCACCAGUGAACUGCUGCCCAUUUAAUCACAUGCAGGUAUCCAGAUACCUUCUCCAUGUGGUGCUGUGUGGCACUUUACUGCCUGGCUUGGUGAUCUGAAAGUUUUUAUGGCAUCCGUUUUUCAGACACUACCCAGCUUUAGAAACUUUAAAAUGGAUGGGGACAUGUGUGUGAGAUUCAGCAAGGGGAAAGCUGCAGCUUCUACAAUACAGAAGGCCUCAGGUCACAGACGGCUGUGUCCUCUCUGAACCUGGACUCAUUGCCUGUGAACAGGCUGGUGCUGUUCUCUGCACACCCACAGGGCUGGUGGAGGUUCAGAGGGGUGUCCUGGUGAACCACAAGGGCUGGACAUACCUGGGCAAUGCUGCAGCUGGAAGAGCACCUAGAAUAUAGAAGGGCACCCCAGGCUAGCCUUGGAGACCCUGCUCCCCUCCAGCCCCAGCCUGACCUUCCUCUCACGGACCCACUACCGGAGACCACCCCACCUGCGCAGGAGAGCUCCCUGGCCCAGGCCUUAAACCUUCGCUCCCUGGCCGAGUCACCUUGGUCAGCCGCAGCCUCUCUGGUCCCCAGUCUCCAGGCCUGCCCUUUAAAAACAUGCCCCCAGAAUCCUCCAUGUCACCCAUCUGCCAACUGGAUGUCAACUCCCAGGACAACUUUGGAAGCUGGUCAUUGAAGACAGCAGAGAUGUGGCCCCUGGGUCCCUGGAUUACUACAUGGAGCAGAGCACCCCCUUCCCCAACUCCAAGCUACUGAUUGGGUUUAUGUGUAUUAUGCUACCUGAGAUUUCAGGAUUUAUGUACCUAAUUCAAUUUCUUUCCUUUUUUGCUACCCAUUUUACAGAUGGGAAAAUUGUUGUUAAGUUGCUAAGUCCAUGUCUGACUCUUUUGCCACCCCAUGGGCUGUGGCUUGCCAGGCUCCUCUGUCCAUGGGAUUUCCCAGACAAGGAUACUGGAGUGGGUUUCCAUUCCCUUCUCCAGGAGAUCUUCCUGACCCAAGUAUCAAACCCACGUCUCCUGCAUUGCAUUCUUUACUGCUGAGCCAUUAAGGAAGCCCUGGGAAAACUAGAUGAGCUACUUUAAGGUGUGGCAUACCAAGGGCUUCCCAGGCGGCACUAGUGGUAAAGAAUCUGCCUGCUAGUGUAGGAGACGAAAGAGACAGCGAUUCAAUCCCUCGGUCGGGAAGAUCCCCUGGAGUAGGAAAUGGCAACCCACUCGACUAUUCUUUCCUGGAAAAUUCCACGGACAGAGGAUCCUGGCAGGCUAUAUAUAGUCCACGGGGUCACAAAGAGUCAGACAUGACUGAGUAUGCACGCACACUACAUGCUACUUACCAGGGUAUUGGCUGAGUGGUCUAAGAAAUAUCAGGUUAAAAUUCAUUCACUGAACAAA